CCUAGCCGUAACAGGUUUAACACUUUUUUGGUGGUUACUACAUGAUUCCAUAUGUGUUAUUUCCUAGUUUUGAUGUCUUCUUUAUUAUUCUACGAUGUAGAAAAUAGUACAAAUAAAGAAAAACCCUGGAUGAGUAGGUGUGUCCUUUUGACUGGUACUGUAUAUGAUGGUGUGUAUAGACAUUAUUACAUGAUUAUAUGAUUUAUUCGGUCAAAGUCCACAUCCAAGACCAAAUGUAUCUACUGUGUGUAUGACCAACAGUAGUACCAUGAACACAACAGAGGCGGGUGAGAGAUAAACAGACCGUAAUGCAGCAGCCUAAUAACCACAGCAGCCGGUCUCCUAAGGACAAGAGCCUGGAGACUGUGGAGGCUACCCACUCAGCACCCUGGAAUAAACCACAACUCAGCAACAGCAAGGGGAGGGACUUUGAGAAAUGGGAUGCACACCAUUCAGAACCAUGGAACAAGCCUCGUCUCAGCAACACCAAAGUGGGUUCUAUGGACAAAAAAACAUAUCAGGGAGAGGAUAAUAUUGUGUGUUGUGUGUUACUAACCUACCUGGGUGGUGUGUUAUAUUAACCUACCUGGGUGGUAUGUUAUAUUAACCUACCUGGGUGGUGUGUUAUAUUAACCUACCUGGGUGGUGUGUUAUAUGAACCUACCUGGGUGGUGUGUUAUAUUAACCUACCUGGGGGUGUGUUUAUAUUAACCUACCUGGGUGGUGUCUUAUAUUAACCUACCUGGGUGUGUGUUUUAUUAACCUACCUGGGUUGUGUGUUAUAUGAACCUACCUGGUGUGGUGUGUUAUAUUAACCUUCCUGGGUUAUGUGUUUAUAUGAACCUACCUGGGUUGUUUUGCUCACCGCCUGGCCUGAACAUAUGCACACGUUCCAGGAGUGUCUAGCUCAUCGAGGAGCUAGCCAAGGAGGUGAAGGACGUCAGUAAGGUACGACAUCUCCACCUGUACAGAUGUAGGAUCUUAAUUUCAGCCAGUUUUCUACAUCAGGAAAAUAAUCCUGCAC
rnacentral:lncRNA from 1 species